rnacentral:rRNA from 1 species
UAGCGUAAUCACUUGUUCUUUAAUUGAGGACUAGUAUGAACGGCCCCACGAGGACUACACUGUCUCCUUUUUCUAAUCAAUGAAACUGAUCUCCUCGUGAAGAAGCGAGGAUAAUUAUAUAAGACGAGAAGACCCUAUGGAGCUUUAAACAACCGGGGUACUUGCUAAUUCAAUUUUAUAUCUUCUGAAAACUAAACAAAUUAAAGCAUCUUACCACCAAGUUUUAGGUUGGGGUGACCACGGAGAAAAAACUAACCUCCACGCUGUAAGAAAUCCACCAUCUUCUAAGCUUAGAGCCACAUUUCCAAGCAUCAACAUAUUGACUUCCAUUGACCCAAUAAUUUGAUCAACGAACCAAGUUACCCUAGGGAUAACAGCGCAAUCUACUUUAAGAGCUCAUAUCGACAAGUAGGUUUACGACCUCGAUGUU